UGUACCUACGGGGGGCAGCAGUGGGGAAUAUUGGGCAAUGGAGGAAACUCUGACCCAGCAAUGCCGCGUGAAUGAAGAAGGUCUUCGGAUUGUAAAGUUCUUUAGUCAGGGAAGAAGUCAAUGACGGUACCUGAAGAAUAAGCACCGGCUAACUCCGUGCCAGCAGCCGCGGUAAUACGGAGGGUGCAAGCGUUACUCGGAAUCACUGGGCGUAAAGAGCGCGUAGGCGGGAUAGCAAGUCAGAUGUGAAAUCCUAUGGCUUAACCAUAGAACUGCAUUUGAAACUGUUAUUCUAGAGUAUGGGG
rnacentral:rRNA from 1 species